GUAAUUCCUGUGCAACCCCAAGUUCCCACCAGCGUUGAGCUUGACCUUCAAAACACUCCCCAGAAACUGGAGUGAGAUAUGUUGAAAUGCCACAUGAAAGGCCUUGCUUAGAGGGUUUCCAGCUGAGACUGGAGAUUGAAGUGGCGAACAUUCUCACAAGGGAUCCAGGCCUUCAGGAUAUUUCCAAACAAACCUUGUGGCCCCUCGGGGACAAGGGUAAACUUACGGAAAACUUGAAGUGGAAAAUAAGAGAAAUUAAUUUAGAACAGUUGCUUGAUCUAAAUGAAAUGUCAAGCUUCACCGGAUGAGUGAGCUCUGGCUGCUAUUCUGUGACAUGAUUCCACACUCACCUGAUCUAUGACGAUAAGACCAGUCAUCAACACAAUAUGUGGUGCCUGUCCAGAAAUUAGUCCUGGACAGAGCAACUUCAGGUAACUAACUAAUGGAUAGCAGCACCAUUAGAGAGAAAUCAAGGAAAACCUACACUUUGGAUCCCACCCGUCCUGGUUAUUUAAAAGAAGCUGUUUUAUCGGGGCGCCUGGGUGGCUCAGUGGGUUGAGCCUCUGCCUUCAGCUCAGGUCAUGAUCUCA